rnacentral:rRNA from 1 species
CUUGACUCUAGUCUGGCACUGUAAGGAGACAUGAGAGGUGUAGCAUAAGUGGGAGAUUCCUCGCGGGGUCGAAAGUGAAAUACCACUACUUUCAUCGUUUCUUUACUUACUUGGUGAGGCGGAGCGCGCGCACGGUUCCCUGUGUUCCGUGCGCGGUGUUCUAGAACCAAGGCCGGGAGGUGCCAGCUUCCCGGCCGAUCCGAUCCAAGGACACUGUCAGGCCGGGAGUUUGACUGGGGCGGUACAUCUGUCAAAGAAUAACGCAGGUGUCCUAAGGCCAGCUCAGCGAGGACAGAAACCUCGCGUAGAGCAAAAGGGCAAAAGCUGGCUUGAUCCCGAUGUUCAGUAAGCAUAGGGACUGCGAAAGCACGGCCCAUCGAUCCUUUUGACUUGGAGAGUUUCCAGCAAGAGGUGUCAGAAAAGUUACCACAGGGA